AUGUUGAAUAUUGGCCCCCACUCUCUUCUGGCUUGUAGUGUUCCUGCCGAGAGAUCUGCUGUGAGCCUGAUGGGCUUCCCUUUGUGGGUUACCCGACCUUUCUCUCUGGCUGCCCUUAGUAUUUUCUCCUUCAUUUCAACCUUGUUGAAUCUGACGAUUAUGUGCCUUGGGGUUGCUCUUCUUCUGGAAUAUCUUUGUGGUGUUUCUCUGUAUUUCCUGGACUUGAGUAUUGGCCUGGAUUGCUAGGUUGGGGAAAUUUUUCUCGAUAAUAUUCUGAAGAGUAUUUUCCAGCUUGAAUUCAUUCUCUUCAUCACUUUCUGGUACACCUAUCAAACGUAGGUUAGGUCUAUUCACAUAGUCCCACAUUUCUUGGAGACUUUGUUCAUUCCUUUUUGUGCUUUUUUCUCUGAUCUUGGUUUCUCAUUUUAUUUCAUUGAGUUGAUCUUCGACUUCUGAUAUUCUUUCUUCUGGUUGGUCAAUUCGGCUGUUGAAGCAUGUGCAUGCUUCGCGAAGUUCUCAUGUUGUGUUUUUCAGCGCCUUCAAUUCGUUUAUAUUCCUCUCUAAGUUGUCCAUUCUGGCUAUCAUUUUCUCGAAUCUUUUUUCAAAUCUUUUUUCAAGGUUCUUAGUUUCUUUGCAUUGAUUUAGAACAUGUUCUUUUAGCUCACAGAAGUUUCUCAUUAUCCACCUUCUGAAGUCUGAUUCCAUCAUUUCAUCACAGUCAUUCUCCGUCCAGCUUUGUUCCCUUGCCGGUGAGGAGUUUUGGUCCUUUGUAGGAGGCGAGGUGUUUUGGUUUCAGGUGUUUUCCUCCUUUUUGCGCUGGUUUCUUCCCAUCUUUGUGGGUUUAUCCUUCUGUCGUCUGAGUAGUUGCUGACUUUUCGGUUGGUUCUCUGAGUGGACGCCCAGAUUGUUGAUGUUGAAGUAUUUCUGUUGUUUAGUUUUCCUUUUAACAGUCUAACCCCUCUGCUAUAUGACUGCUGAGGUCCACUCCAGGCCCUCCUUUUCUGGGGUAUACCUGUAGCAGCUGCGGAACAGUGAGGGAUGCUACCAGUUUCUUCUUCUGCUACCUUUGUCCCAGAAUAAUGCCCACCAAAUGUCAGUCUGAUCAGUCCUUUUUGAGGUGACUCUUUGGAUAUUCAGGGGUCAGGGAGCUGCUUGAGGAGAUGGUCUGUACUUUAUAGGUGCUCGAGUGCUGAGCUGUGAGCUCCGUUGUUCAUUGAGGACUGUUCAGCAGAUACUUUUAAGUCUG
rnacentral:lncRNA from 13 species